rnacentral:ncRNA from 1 species
CAUCAAAAACCAAGUCUCUAAGCAAUGGAUGUCUUGGCUCCUCACACGAUGAAGAACGUGGCAUAAUGUGUUAAGUAACCGGAGUUGCAAACAUCAUGACAGGUUAAUCUUUGAAUGCAAAUUGCGCUAAACUCGAUCUCGGUCGAGAAGCAUGGGUGUGACAGUACUACAUCUUUUAUAAUAAUUCUUAUUCUAAGCGAAUAAGUAAAUAAUAUAUAAGACAAACAACACGUAGUCUGCCAUACGCAGGAAGACCCGCUGAACUGAAGCAUCUCAUUAAGCGGAGGAAAAGAAACUAACUAGGAUUCCCUUAGUAAAGGCGAUCGAAAAGGGAACAGCCCAACGUCUUAAUCCCGCAAGGGAAA